AUGGCGUCGUGGGUGAGUGGUCGCGGGGUCGGGAGUGAAGGCGGCGGGUCCCGGGGCUGGUCCCGCCUGCGCACCCCCUGGGCACCCGCUGGGCGCCCGCCGGGCUCCCCGCGCCGGCCCGGGCUGCGAGGCGGGGUGGGCGCUGCUGGGUUUGCGUGCGGGGCUGGACCUCUGUGCUCCUACGAGCGCUAUUUCGGCCCCGGCACCAGACUCACCGUCUUAGAGGACCUCAAAAAGGUGAGCCCUCCCAAGGUCACAGUGUUUGAACCAUCAGAAGCAGAGAUCUCCCGGACCCUGAAGGCCACACUCGUGUGCCUGGCCACAGGCUUCUACCCCGACCACGUGGAGCUGAGCUGGUGGGUGAACGGGAAGGAGGUGCGCGACGGGGUCAGCACGGACCCUGAGCCCUACAAGGAACAGUCCGGCGCGAAUGGCUCCAGCUACUGUCUGAGCAGCCGGCUGAGGGUCUCCGCCACCUUCUGGCACAACCCUCGGAACCACUUCCGCUGCCAGGUCCAGUUCCACGGGCUCGGGAAGGAUGACCAGUGGGACUACCCCGAGGCCAAACCCGUCACCCAGAACGUCAGUGCCGACACCUGGGGCAGAGCAGACUGUGGCUUCACUUCGGCGUCCUACCAGCAGGGGGUCCUGUCGGCCACCAUCCUCUAUGAGAUCCUGCUGGGGAAGGCCACCCUGUAUGCCAUCCUGGUCAGCGUCCUCGUGCUGAUGGCCAAGGUCAAGAGAAAGGAUUCCUGAGGCCAGCUCCAAAAGCGUAUCCUGAGUUCAUAAUCCUCACGCCGGAUUCUCCUUUACAUGCUUCCAGCCUGUGUUUCUAAAAGCGUGAUUCUCUCUCCGCCUCUUAUCUCCUUCCUGCCGGGUUAUCUGUCCCUUCGCCCCACUUCCCUGUGGAUUGAGCUCCUCAGCCCUGACACUGAAUGAGACUAAAACAAUAAAAAGCAUCGUGCCAGGC